rnacentral:rRNA from 1 species
UCUCGGGGUUAUUGGGCGUAAAGCGCGCGCAGGCGGCUGAUUAAGUCAGGUGUGAAAGGCUGCGGCUCAACCGCAGAGCGGCACCUGAAACUGGUCAGCUUGAGUGCAGGAGAGGGGAGCGGAAUUCCCGGUGUAGCGGUGGAAUGCGUAGAGAUCGGGAGGAACACCAGUGGCGAAGGCGGCUCUCUGGCCUGUAACUGACGCUGAGGCGCGAAAGCGUGGGGAGCAAACAGGAUUAGAUACCCUGGUAGUCCACGCCGUAAACGAUGAGUGCUAGGUGUUGGGGGGCUACGCCCCUCAGUGCCGAAUGUAACCCAUUAAGCACUCCGCCUGGGGAGUACGGCCGCAAGGCUGAAACUCUAAGGAAAUUGACGGGA